UACAGAGGGUGCGAGCGUUAAUCGGAAUUACUGGGCGUAAAGCGUGCGCAGGCGGUUAUGUAAGACAGGUGUGAAAUCCCCGGGCUUAACCUGGGAACUGCAUUCGAGACUGCAUUGCUAGAGUAUGGGAGAGGGAAGUGGAAUUUCCGGUGUAGCGGUGAAAUGCGUAGAUAUCGGAAGGAACAUCAGUGGCGAAAGCGACUUCCUGGACCAAUACUGACGCUCAUGUGCGAAAGCGUGGGGAGCAAACAGG
rnacentral:rRNA from 1 species